rnacentral:lncRNA from 1 species
GUGCAUCUGAUCCAUACAGGUCCCACUGGCCAGUGGUGUUGCCCAAAUCCUCCAAAUCAAAGUAUACACUCUUGUCACCAUAUUUGGCAACCACAGGGCCGGCCCUACACAAAAAUGUAUUUAUCCACUUCAUAAUGACCAAAACAAGCCAUGCUUAUACGGACCACAGAGCCAGCCCUACCCAAACAUGUAAUUAUUCACAUCAAAAUGACCAAAACAAGCAAGCUUAUAAGUAUAAAUACAUCCAAUAUCGUUUUUAUCCCCUUCUUCAGUGACUAUAUGAACAGAGGAACUUAUUCUUUUUAAAAGUUCCUUCUUUUAUUAGAUGAACUGAAUCUUGUUGGGCUAAAAUGGCUCAAAGAUACUCAUAACAAGGUGGGAUAUUGUCCCUUUGUGCCAAGCCCACAAGGUACUCCCCAAAAGUCCUCGCAUUAUUAAGAGUAUUCAACUCCUUAUGAGUAGCUUCUUUUUCCUUUCUACUUUUCAUGUGGCACGCCCACUAAAUCCAACCAACAAACGGAAGUUCACAAAUGACACUAAGAAUCGUUGAAAACAUGAUUAGUUAAGUAAAACUAUGCUCUUCUAAUGGCUUAAGCUUUUAGAGGAUGCGAUCACACUUUCAACAUAGACAGUAGCGAAACAAGAAAUUUUACAAAGGGUGUUCAAGGUUUAAUAUAUAUUUAUAACAGAUAGGUUUUGUCCAAUAUACAUAGUACAUAUAAUUUUUUAUAUCAUAGUAUUAUUUUGGCGAAAUACAUAAACAACCCUCCAUAGUUGUCCACAACGGUAAGUUGGACACCUCAACUUAGCAUAUGAACUAUCAAAAUUUAAAUGAGUCAAAUAGACACUCCAGUGCAACAGACCAUGAGCGUGAAUUACAAUUGCUAAAUAAACCAAUUAAAAAUUGCCACGUAUUAUUUGCAAUAAAAAAAUAUACACAUGUAAUAAAAAAAAAUUAAAGAGAAAAGCCCCCCGCCCACCCCCACUUCAUCUUCUUCCNNNNNNNNNNNNNNNNNNNNNNNNNNNNNNNNNNNNNNNNNNNNNNNNNNNNNNNNNNNNNNNNNNNNNNNNNNNNNNNNNNNNNNNNNNNNNNNNNNNCCAGCGCCCCCCACCCAUGAUCCACCCCCACUUCAUCUUCUUCCUUCUACGGCAACCUCGACGAACUCGGAACUAAACCUCAAACUUGAAGCCACAGUUCACUUGAUUUUUCUAAAGAAAAAAAAAACUGAAGUGUGUCGUGUCGCUCUUACUCAUGUUCGGGAGCUGGUCGGUUGCUUCUUCUUCAAAGAAUGAAGAAGAUGAACAGUUAAUUCCUUUAAAAACAAAGACCUCCCAACGUGUAUAUGUGUAUAGUGUAUCUUCUGAAGAAGCAGAUGACGGUAACGUUUUAAUAUGUUUGUUACUUAUAAUAUUCUUCAUUUAUUACUAAUUGCUUCCAUGAAGGAAUGAAGUUAGAGGUGACUUUUAGUCAUUAAUGGCUACUUAUGACUCUCGUUCUCUCUCUCAUCUUAUUGUUAAUUUUUUUUUUAAAAAAAACUUAAUUUAGAGGGUUUCACGCGCCAAGAAUGAAGGGUAAAACACACACUUUGCCCUGUCAGCUUGAAGGGUUUCACACUUUAGUGGAUUUGAAGUGUCUAAAUGAUAAAGGGUUUGAGGUGUCUAAAUGAUAAAUGGAUUAGUUGAGGUGUCUAACUGACCGUUGUGGACAACUUCAAGAGUCUAUUUUUGUAUUUCGCUAAUAAUUUUCCAAUGAACUGAACACCCUUCACUACAUACGCCACUGAACAUAUCAUCACAGCUGACAGAGAUAUUGAGUUCACAAAUAGAUGUUGCACUCCGUUUUUGGCGAGGAGACAUGUUGAGAAUAUAACUAAGUAAAACAAAAGUGUGUUUCUUCUAACUGGUAAAACUUUUAGAUGAAAUAGCAAUGAUUAUCAGUUGGCAAUCACAAGAAGGUAGAGGGGAAUCCCUUUACCUGGAUUUAGUGGGCUUCAAAUUGAGGCGAGAUGAUUUGAGAUGAAGUUUAGUUCCAGUAAUGGAGCUUCCAGCUAGGCCCUUGACAUUGGUCGUAGGUUGCACUGCAGCAAGGGUUGCCAAAGAUGCCAUGGCUUUCACUCCAAACUAACAAAACUACUUUCAGAAUUAUAACUGUGGGCUGGCAAUUGGUUUGCAGUGUGGAUACCUU